rnacentral:rRNA from 1 species
UACGUAGGGGGCAAGCGUUAUCCGGAAUCAUUGGGCGUAAAGAGUACGUAGGUGGUUUGUUAAGCGCGGGGUUUAAGGCUAAGGCUUAACCAUAGUUCGCCCCGUGAACUGGCAGACUUGAGUGCUGGAGGGGAAAGUGGAAUUCCUAGUGUAGCGGUGAAAUGCGUAGAUAUUAGGAGGAACACCAGUGGCGAAGGCGACUUUCUGGACAGCAACUGACACUGAGGUACGAAAGCGUGGGUAGCAAACA